rnacentral:rRNA from 1 species
UACGGAGGGUGCGAGCGUUGUCCGGAAUCAUUGGGCGUAAAGGGCGCGUAGGUGGCCCGGUCAGUCUUUGGUGAAAGCGCGGGGCUCAACCCUGCGUCGGCCAGGGAUACUGCCGCGGCUGGAGCAUUGUAGAGGCAGGCGGAAUUCCGGGUGUAGCGGUGGAAUGCGUAGAGAUCCGGAAGAACACCGGUGGCGAAGGCGGCCUGCUGGGCAGUUGCUGACACUGAGGCGCGACAGCGUGGGGAGCAAACAGG